AGAACUUCCAGCUUCUGCUGAUGGUGUAGGCAUCUGGAAAAUGUGUCUUUAUUAAAAUUACAUUUAAAAACGAGUGAUAUUCAGGGUCAUGACUUUCUGAACCCAUCAGAGAGCUGAAUUGCAGGGCAAUUAAAUAGUUUAAAAUGAAGGAAAGAGAGGUGCCUCCUACAAUAACAGAGAUGGGCUGCAAACAUUGGAUGACCUGUGGCAGAGCACGGAAAGAAGGCAAGGAUGACAGCUACAUGCAGACAAGGUCUCCAGAUUUGCCACCCAUGCUGAGUGCCGUGGUGUGAUCAUGGCUUAUUUCAACCUCAACCUCCCCCACUCAAGCGAUCCUCCUGCCUCAGCCUCUGGAGUAGCUGGGACUACAGGCACGCACCACCACACCCAGCCAUAAUUUGCCUCUUGCUGUAACUAAAAGGUCACAAAAACAAAGAAUUCUAAAAAAUCUUCUUCUUAAGUGCUGAAUACAUAUAGGAACUACAGUUCUCAGACCUGCAGUGAGUUCUGACCAAUGGAAUUCAGUGGGAUGAUAGAUGCUGCCUUUGAAGCCACCCCAUCAACUGGCUCAUCUCCUCCUGUCUC
rnacentral:lncRNA from 1 species